rnacentral:tRNA from 1 species
GCCUGGUUGGCUCAGCGGUUGAGCAUCUGCCUUAGACUCAGAUUAUGAUCUGGGUCCGGGAUCAAGUCCCACAUCAGGCU